CUCAUCUUCUAUCCAUGCUUUUUAUAUUGUGAGAUCUCCACCAAUGGGUCCUUUGAGGAAUAAUAAUUGAUGAGGGGCCAUUUGGCAUCAUCCUAGAAUCUCCUUUACCUGUUAUGGAAUAUAUUAAAGCAAGAAAGGAGCUUCAAGUACAGCAGCUGGUUAAAGAGAAAGCAGACCAACUGAAUGUGUAACACUGGGAUGGCAAGCCUUUGAAGAUCAAUGAUUGGAUUUUGAUUCCAGUGAUCAAACUCUUGACCACAACCCAAGAAAUCUGAAGAUCAAUCUGAUGCAAUUGACUUUUACGAUUUGUUGUUGGCCAUUGUGGUCUCCUUUUCUUUUUCUUCUUUUCUUUUUGGGGGUGAAAAUUUCUUUUAUUCAGUUCAGUUUGGAUAUGGAUUACAGAAUUAAAGCUAACAAUCCCUUUGGAAUAUAUUUCUUUAUGGGACUUUUAUGCAGAGUGAGCCCUGUUGAUUGCCCUUUAUGUCAUUUCAUUUUGUGUUGGCAUGCAUCACAGAGAGAGAGAGAGAGAGAGAGAGAGAGAGAGAGAGGGAGAGAGAGAAGGUUAACUUAUCAUCACAAUUGAAUUCACAAAAGAGGUUAACUAAUAAUAUUGGUUAUGUAUAUUAAUUCAA